AUGGGAUGGGUUUGGAGCGACGAUGACAACGACGACGAUUCUCAACGCAGCAUCUCCUCUUCAGGUUCCGAUGAACAUAGCUCCACCACAAAAAUCGUGAAAUCGCAGUGUAGAACGGAAGAGGUUGGACCUGGAAAGUUCGUUAGGAAAUGCGAGAAAACCGAAGAGCUUCUCAGAACUUGCGCUGGAAGGUUAGGUUUAAUGCUCUGA